GAUCCCAUUGAGGACGCCACAUUAUGUUUCAUUGCCAUGUCUCCAUAGACUCUUCUUGGUUGUGAUGGUUUCUCACGCUUUUCUUGGUUUUGAAGACGUUGACAAUUUUCUUCCACUGGGAUUUGCUUGAUGCUUUUCUCAUGAUUACACUGGAACUGUGACUUUUUAGAAGGAAGAUCAUAGAGUCACAACAGAUGGAGGACUCAAUGCUUAUGUUGGAGAAGGAAGCUACAUUGUCCCUGAGUUCAUGGAAAUGUCAAGUCUAGAAGAUGGAAGAGUUCAGUUAAUAUCUCCAGAGACCCACAGCCUCCAGGCUGUGGGACUCCCUCAGACAGUGGCCAUGGAUGGCUGACAGGACGCAUUCUUCCCAGUCUGGCCCUGUGAAGGUAGGCAUGCCCCAUUCC